AUGCAGCCAAGCGAUGAUAUCUCAGAUCAUUAUUUAGUUUUGUGCAAACUUCAUAUAGUAAAAAUUCUACUUCUUGUUACAAGUAUGGUAGAACCAUCACUUCUACCACAAAAGACUGCUUUCAUUUUAAAUACAGUUGCUCCCUUACGCUUAAGGAAGAUUAAGCGAAACAGUCUGACACCGUGGUAUAAUGAGCACACUCGCACCCUAAAGAGAAUGGAGCGCAGCUGGAGGAAAACAAAACUAGAGGUCACCGUAGCCACCAGAUCCAGUCUGUAUCCAGAUCAGAUGGUCACUGCAGUCACCCAGAUCCAGUACGUAUCCAGACCAGAUGGUGGAUCAGCACCUAGAAAGGACCUCUAUAGCCCUAAAAGACAGCGGAGACCAGGACAAGUAGAUGAGCCCCAGAUACAGAUCCUCUGUGAAGACCUGUGACAUUGCUGCAGCCUGGGAAUUGAACAGCUGGUUUCGUCUGGCUAGAGGAGAACUGGCCCCCGACUGAACCUGGUUUCUCCCAAGGUUUUUUCUCCAUUCUUUCACCGAUGGAGUUUUGGUUCUUUGCCACUGUUGUCUCUGGCUUGCUUAGUUGGGGACACUUGAUUUACAGCAAUAUUGUUGACCUAAUUGCAAAGAUACUAUUCAAACUGUACUGAGCUGCAUGAUGACAUCACUGAAUUCAAUGAUGAACUGCCUUUAACUGUCAUUUUGCAUUAUUGACACACUGUUUUCCUAAUUAAUGUUGUUCAGUUGCUUUGACACAAUCUGUUUUGUUUAAAGCACUAUAUAAAUAAAGGUUACUUGACUUGACUAUAGGAGAGGAAG
ensembl:lncRNA